rnacentral:rRNA from 1 species
GACGAACGCUGGCGGCGUGCUUAACACAUGCAAGUCGAACGGAAAGGCCCUGCUUUUGUGGGGUGCUCGAGUGGCGAACGGGUGAGUAACACGUGAGUAACCUGCCCUUGACUUUGGGAUAACUUCAGGAAACUGGGGCUAAUAUCGGAUAGGAGAUCCUGCUGCAUGGGGGGGGUUGGAAAGUUUCGGCGGUUGUGGAUGGACUCGCGGCUUAUCAGCUGGAUGGUGGGGUAGUGGCUUACCAAGGGUUUGACGGGUAGCCGGCCUGAGAGGGUGACCGGCCACAAUGGGACUGAGAGACGGACCAGACUCCUACGGGAGGCAGCGGUGGGGAGUAUUGCACAAUGGGCGGACGCCUGUUGCAGCAACGUCGCGUGCGGGAUGACGGCCUUCGGGUUGUAAACCGCUUUCGCCGGUGACGAAGCGUGAGUGACGGUAAUGGGUAAAGAAGCACCGGCUAACUACGUG